rnacentral:lncRNA from 1 species
CAAAGAAGAAUGGAUGAAGGUAGUCCCCUGCUACUUGUAGACAUGACCCAGCAGUCAGUAAAACUGUCCCAAAGGUUAGAAACCUACCAGGACCUGUGUCUUAUAGUAAAUAAAUUCUUUACAGCUCCAGAGACAAACAGAAUUCUAAAGAAGCUGCAUAGAGUUGAUGAGAAUCUACCUACCUUCCCAACUAUGCAUAAGGUGAAAAUAUGUAGACAACAUGACUUGAUGACAGUUGGAUGGACAUAACAACAAUGACCAAAACAGUUGGAAUAAAUGACUGUCACAUGAU